rnacentral:rRNA from 1 species
UGAACUUAAGUGGAUUAGUGGCGAACGGGUGAGUAACACGUGAGUAACCUGCCUUACACAAGGGGAUAGCCUCUGGAAACGGAGCAAUCAAUACCCUAUAAAGUCUAAUCAGCCCAUGCUGGAAAGACCAAAGAUUUAUCGGUGUAAGAUGGACUUGCGUCUGAUUAGCUAGUUGGUGAGAUAAAAGCUCACCAAGGCGACGAUCAGUAGCCGGCUUGAGAGAGUGUACGGCCACAUUGGGACUGAGACACGGCCCAAAACUCCUACGGGAGGCAGCAGUGGGGAAUUUUGCACAAUGGGGGAAACCCUGAUGCAGCGACGCCGCGUGAUUUAGAAGGCCUUCGGGUUGUAAAAAUCUUUUUUACGGGAUGAAAAUGACAGUACCGUAAGAAUAAGGUCCGGCUAAAUACGUGCCAGCAGCCGCGGUAAUACGUAUGGACCGAGCGUUGUCCGGAAUCAUUGGGCGUAAAGGGUACGUAGGCGGCCUAGUAAGUUAGAAGUUAAAGAAUAUAGCUCAACUAUAUAAAGCUUUUAAAACUGCUAGGCUUGAGAGAUGGAAGGGAAAGUGGAAUUCCUAGUGUACGGUGAAAUGUGCAGAUAUUAGGAAGAAUACCGGUGGCGAAGGCGACUUUCUGGUCAUCAUCUGACGCUGAGGUACGAAAGCGUGGGUAGCAAACAGGAUUAGAUACCCUGGUAGUCCACGCUGUAAACGAUGAGUGUUAGGUUCUUGGAAUAAUCUGGGAGCCGCAGCUAACGCAUUAGGACACUCCGCCUGGGGAGUACGCAC